rnacentral:snRNA from 1 species
GUCCUUGCCUCAACAGCACAUGUACUAAAAAUGUAACAUUACAGAAAAGAUUUUUAUGGCCCUUAUAUAAGGAUAAGUAGAUUACGAAGCAUUCUAUAUUUCU